GAGUAUCUUACGCUAGUGUUGGUUGUGCUGUACCUUGAAGUGGAACUGAGAUAACAUAAAUAUUCAUCUUUUCACCAGACGUCUUGUCUAUUAGGUCACCGUAGUUAACAGAGUCAUAGGGAGGUGGUGCAAAUAAAUGGGAGUGUUUAAAGGUCGAGCACUGCGACGACAACACCAUUCGGAACAACUAACAAUGAGGAAGAAGGCUACUAAACCACCAAACGAUCCAAUAUACCAAACUAUCGACCAUGGGUCUAGUGGACUAUGUUUUUCUAUGUCUUCUGAAACAAACAUUAAAAUUUAUUAUUAAUAUUGCUGAUUACUUGAACAAAGGGAGAAAGAACGAGAAAUACCUACUUAGUCUGUAUUACGUAAUCGUGUUCUCUACCGAUUACCUUACUAAGCACUACAUGGCACGUGUGUAGUAGCUACAAGUCACGUAGUCAAGUUAGCGCAAUCGAAUCGACGACAAUGAAGGGAAAAAGAAAAGAUAACGGAUGUGCUAAUAUUUCAGCUAAUCUUUUUCAUAUUUACAUUUUCACCAUAUUUUAAGUAAUAAUUCUCAUUGUUCAUUACAAAAAUAUUUUUCAUAUUUUCUUAUUUACUAAUAUCGGUUUUAAUAAAAUAUUUUUCAACUCCAAAAUAGAAUCAUAAUUUAAUUUUUUUAUUUUUAGUUUUGAAAUUGUCUUUUCCAACGCUGGAAUAAAAUAGUGUAAGAAAUAAAUAAUAUUUGUUUUUAAAAAAGAAUAACUAAUUAGAUGGAAGAAAAUAUUUUUUUAUUAAUUACAAGGAUCUCAAGAAGAAGAUACAACGAUUUUGCGACGCAAAAAAAUCUGACGCGACAUGAUGAUUGCUGCAGAGACUACUAAUGUUCAUUUAUGUUAAUAAUUUGGAUAUCACACCAAGUGAGAAUCGACUAGUGGGAAUGAUGAUGACGAAAGUGUCAAGGCAAAUAUGAUGUAAAAUUGAUGAUGAAACUGUCCAGAAUUUUAGUCUCACCAAUUUUGCAAAUACAUUCAAUCGGGUGAACAGCUUAUUGGAUUUAUUUGAUCUACCUGAUUCAUCAUAUGAGAAGGUUAAAUGUAAUGAGCAUAAAACAUAGGAAAUUUGGUUGACAUAAGAAGAGAAAAUUACACACACCUACGAAAAUGAUAUAAAACUUAUUUGAUGUUAAAAGUAUAAAGUAUUUUUUUGAUUAUUUGUAGAAUAUAAAUUGAUGAAAAAUAUAAAAUAAUAAGUAAAAUAUUAUUUAAUAACUUCUCAAAGUUCAUAAAUGAGUGAUGAAAUGAUCUAAGAAUUACUGUGGACUUCCUCGUAUGUGCUCAUUUUAUUAUUCAUUGUACUUCGUAUUUUCAUUGCCAAUUAAUAGACCUACUUACAUAUAUUCUUGUAAGAAUCAUAGACAUUGUUUACAUCAGCAAACUGACCUAGCAAUUUUCUCUAUAUGGUAUUGUUUCCAAUAUUGUUACAAUAUAUUCUUAAUAAUAUUGUAUUGUUCUAGGCAAGAUGCCAAAGUGAAUAUACCUUCUUUUUACUUGUUUU